UUCNACUGAUUUGAAGAGCUUGCUCAGAUAUGACGAUGGACAUUGCAAAGAGUGGCGAACGGGUGAGUAACACGUGGGAAACCUACCUCUUAGCAGGGGAUAACAUUUGGAAACAGAUGCUAAUACCGUAUAACAAUGACAACCGCAUGGUUGUUAUUUAAAAGAUGGUUCUGCUAUCACUAAGAGAUGGUCCCGCGGUGCAUUAGCUAGUUGGUAAGGUAAUGGCUUACCAAGGCGAUGAUGCAUAGCCGAGUUGAGAGACUGAUCGGCCACAAUGGGACUGAGACACGGCCCAUACUCCUACGGGAGGCAGCAGUAGGGAAUCUUCCACAAUGGGCGAAAGCCUGAUGGAGCAACGCCGCGUGUGUGAUGAAGGGUUUCGGCUCGUAAAACACUGUUGUAAGAGAAGAAUGACAUUGAGAGUAACUGUUCAAUGUGUGACGGUAUCUUACCAGAAAGGAACGGCUAAAUACGUGCCAGCAGCCGCGGUAAUACGUAUGUUCCAAGCGUUAUCCGGAUUUAUUGGGCGUAAAGCGAGCGCAGACGGUUAUUUAAGUCUGAAGUGAAAGCCCUCAGCUCAACUGAGGAAUUGCUUUGGAAACUGGAUGACUUGAGUGCAGUAGAGGAAAGUGGAACUCCAUGUGUAGCGGUGAAAUGCGUAGAUAUAUGGAAGAACACCAGUGGCGAAGGCGGCUUUCUGGACUGUAACUGACGUUGAGGCUCGAAAGUGUGGGUAGCAGACAGGAUUAGAUACCCUGGUAGUCCACACCGUAAACGAUGAGUGCUAGGUGUUUGAGGGUUUCCGCCCUUAAGUGCCGCAGCUAACGCAUUAAGCACUCCGCCUGGGGAGUACGACCGCAAGGUUGAAACUCAAAGGAAUUGACGGGGACCCGCACAAACGGUGGAGCAUGUGGUUUUAUUUCAANCCACGCGAAAGAACCUUACCAGGUCUUGACGUCCCUUGACAACUCCGGAGAUGGAGCGUUCGCUUCGGGGACAAGGUGACAGGUGGUGCAUGGUUGU
rnacentral:rRNA from 1 species